GAGGAACGCUGGCGGCGUGCCUAAUACAUGCAAGUCGAGCGAACAGACGAGGAGCUUGCUCCUCUGACGUUAGCGGCGGACGGGUGAGUAACACGUGGAUAACCUACCUAUAAGACUGGGAUAACUUCGGGAAACCGGAGCUAAUACCGGAUAAUAUAUUGAACCGCAUGGUUCAAUAGUGAAAGACGGUUUUGCUGUCACUUAUAGAUGGAUCCGCGCCGCAUUAGCUAGUUGGUAAGGUAACGGCUUACCAAGGCGACGAUGCGUAGCCGACCUGAGAGGGUGAUCGGCCACACUGGAACUGAGACACGGUCCAGACUCCUACGGGAGGCAGCAGUAGGGAAUCUUCCGCAAUGGGCGAAAGCCUGACGGAGCAACGCCGCGUGAGUGAUGAAGGUCUUCGGAUCGUAAAACUCUGUUAUUAGGGAAGAACAAAUGUGUAAGUAACUAUGCACGUCUUGACGGUACCUAAUCAGAAAGCCACGGCUAACUACGU
rnacentral:rRNA from 1 species